AAAGUGAGUUCUAGUGUGAGAAUAUUUUUAGUAUUCGGUUCUAACUGUCCGAAAUAAACUAUUGCAAUUGUAUCUUUAAAUUAUUUUAGUGAUUUUAAUAUACUUCAUAACUUAUGGUAUUGUAUUAUUGGACAAUCUGUAUAAAUUGUCGAAACAAAUUCUGGCAAUAUAUUGGCGUAUUAACAACUAGGAAUGAAACUGACUGCCACUAUUUUCGUUGAAAUAUAAAACUAAUUAAGUAUGGCAUUAUUAUUCUUCUCGUAUUGAUUUAAGUUUUUAAAUGACAGCUUAUUAAAUGAGAACAAAUAAUUAAAUUCAAUCGUUCAAAAGACUGUAAGUUAAUUCAAAUACGUUUUGUCGGGUAACUUAUUAAAUUACCAAUUCUUACAUCACCAGUAAGAACUAAAUUAAAUCGUUUGUAAGACUGUAAGUCAAAUGGUCUGAUACUUAAUUUUUUUUAUAUUAUGGAAGGCCAUGGUUGGAGUUGUUUAUGUGCGGUCACAUUUGUCCGCCGCCGCCGAUCUUGCUGACGCAGCGCAUAUCUGGCGUUGAGGAAUGAACUGCAACUGCAUUCCAUGCCUGUCAGCUGAGAAUCUUCCAUGGUCAUGUCCAGGUCUCCAACCAUAAACAAAUAAAAAAUAAAAAUAGCUUGAUUAAUAAUAUGCUUAUUAUUAAAACUUUUUAAUACUCAACUUUUUUAUUCAGAGGUAAACAAAUCAGUUUGACUGUGCUAGACAUAAAAGUGCUGAGCUCGCUUUCUCGGGCUAUUUUCCAAUCGUCCUUCGGCUUCUGUAUGGCCUUGUCCGGAUCGACGACAUCGGUUGGCGGUGCGCCGUCAGCCAGAAAAUGCUGAGAGACCAAUAAUCUGGAACCUACUCCAUGACGUAACACAUUUGGUAUGUGUCCAGCUGUCGAAUGGAUUAUGUUUAUCUUCUGCAGCGGCCAGUACCGGGAAUGACCGGUGACCGUGGCCUAAGUUGGUUUUCUUUGUUCAGCAAUAACAGUUGCUCGUAUCUCUCUCGGAAAAAGCGGUGAUGAGGUCAUCAUAAAACGUCCGGCGUUCGGUGACAGUAUUGUUUACUCUAGGUUUUUAAAGUCUUGCUUGUUUAAUAAUCGUCAUCUUAUCGUUGACUUUGGACUCGGUCUUUGACUACGUUGUAUUUCGUAGAACUUCGUCACGCUUCGUAGUUUUUCAGUCAUUCGUGAAUAGACCUUUCCCGUUAAUCGAAAACAGCGGUCAUAAUGCGCGCGCAUGAAGUUAAGUUUGCUAGACUGAAAGAUCGUAGGUCCUAGCUUGUUGCAUGUGGCUUGUCAUCCGUAUUUGUCAAUUUUGUUUUGUUUUGGAGAUAAAGUUUGGUUAGAGUUUUCUUCGAACAUUAUUUCUUGGUUUUUAUAUUUGUUUUAUUAUUUUGCGUACGCUUUACAGUUUUAGUGCAUUUAAAAUGUGGACCAAUCACAUUUAAAAACCUCAUACUUUAUGUAUAGUUUUUAUGUCAAGUCCACAUUUAUGCAUACAAGAAUGUCAUUGUUCUUGUGAAGUUGGUUCAUCCCAGUCUUCCCAUCAUUUGCUGGGUUUAGAAUUUUAUUUGCAAGACAUUAUAUUAAGAGUAGAAUAUGAAACUCCCGAGCACAUUGCUUCAACAUCCCAAGAUAUGAUAUAGAAUAAGCCACGUGGGACAAAAGUAAUUCCUGAAGAUGCAAGGUAUCUCACAUUCCAAAAACCUACAAAUAUUUUGAGAAGGAAGGUCCCCGUUGUAACAAAAAUUGCUAUUCAUAGCACUUCUGCGAUGUUGAAUGAAGAUACAGAUGAUUUGCCCACAAAAUUACAGAAAUUAGAGAGAAGAGAACCUUUUUAAAAGAUUGAUAAGGGCAUACCUUUAUCUUUUUUUAUUUCUACAGAGAAGACCAAUCCAGAAAUUACUAUUUUUGGUCAACAAAAAAAGGGAGGGAAAGAUAUUGCUAAUGAUGAUAUGCCAGUUAAUUUACCCAUAUUAAAUACUAUCACUAGAAAUAUUUUAAUUAGCUGCCCUCCACAAGGGAACCAUUUUCAUGAAUUUUCGUUUGGUGAAGCUCUACAACUGGAAAGGCGCACGCUACAAGGAGAUAAUGGCAAAUAUGGUGGUGUAUUUAAGAAAAAAUCAUGAAAUAAUGCUAGUAAUAUAUAUUUAGAUUUUUGACAAAAUGUUUUAUUUUAUAUAUUAUUUAUUUUUAUUAUAGUAUACAGUGUGUCCCCCGAUCGUCUUUAUAAGAGGAGAGACGUUUAUUAUUGACAUUUUGAGAAAAAUACAUUCUUCAUUAAAAGUUUUGCUCAUUUUAAAAUGAUUAAUGCCGUUUAUGCUUUUCUAAAUUUCUAUACCGUUUUGAGUAAAUUUAAAAAACUAUAUUAAAUAUAGUUGAAUUUUUU